UACGUAGGGUGCGAGCGUUGUCCGGAAUUGUUGGGCGUAAAGAGCUUGUAGGCGGUCUGUCGCGUCUGCUGUGAAAAUCCGGGGCUCAACCCCGGACUUGCAGUGGGUACGGGCAGACUAGAGUGUGGUAGGGGAGACUGGAAUUCCUGGUGUAGCGGUGAAAUGCGCAGAUAUCAGGAGGAACACCGAUGGCGAAGGCAGGUCUCUGGGCCACUACUGACGCUGAGAAGCGAAAGCAUGGGGAGCGAACAGG
rnacentral:rRNA from 1 species